GCUCCACCGACUGCGUCAGAGACUCUGGAGUCAGACCCUGACACCCCUGUUUCCAGAGGUCCUCAAGGUGACUCCAGUACUGGAUGACAGGAACGCACAUGUGUGAAAAGUGCCACCUGCAUGCACAGAAAGAGAACCUGCCACCUUGUUUGAAAUGCCACCUGCAGGAGAUGCUUCCGCAGCUCAGCUAUGAGACCCUUGAUUCCUGAGCAUAAUUACAACUCCUGGGAAACACCAAGGCGCAGCCCUACUAGAGAGACAGCUCACUGAUCAAGCAUUAUUUUUAACAAGAAGCUCACCCAGGAUGGAGAAAGAAGAAAGGUGGACAACAUUUCCAUUCAAGCUCCACAUAUGAGAAUUCUCAAGAAAGGAAGGCAGCUCUAGCCCUGGUCCGAGACAACUGUUGUCCUUGAAAGCCCGGCUUGACUGUCUCAUCCCUGCGCACCUGCAGGUGUGACCUGGCCUGGGAUCUGCAGCCCGGCUGUCUUGGACACGGCUGUAGGGACAGCUUACCGCACAACUGAGAUCUAUGCACAGUCAAUGAGCAUGUCCGGGGAAAUGAGUCGGUGGGGUAGACCUUUUACCAUCCCCUUGAAGCAAACUGAUGGCUCUUUUGUGCCGUGGUAGGAAGCCUCAAGUCACCUCAGGAUCUCUCUUUACGUGUCUCUUGUCUCCUCUCCUGUAUUGCCAAGCCCUAACCAGAGCUGGGCAACUGGUUCACAUUUCAGGACUGUCUUGUAGAUGGGUGGUUAAGGGUACCAAGGGCCCAGGGAAGAGUUUUGGAGCAUUCCACUAGCAUCUGUGUGUAGGAACAGUUUUUAGGAUGUUUAACUAUGAAAGCAUGCAGCUUUAAAAAUGACAGUCCAUCACACCUGAAUGUAGCUAACAAGUUCACCAUCAGUCCUCCUGUGAGGGAAAGAAUUUAACUGAAGAAAAUCCGGUGACUUGAGAGAUGCCAACAUUUUCCACAAUCCCAAUCCAGCAAUAGUUGGUGUGAAGGACAUGACACAAUAGUCUGUGAGAAAUGUCUUUCUUGGUUAUGUAUCAAUAACUCAGUUAAGAUGACGUGUAAAACAGUGGGGAAGCGGGCUUGGAGAACAGUGGAGGACACCUAACGAAGCAGUUCUCUAACACAAUGCUAAUUAACUGCACACGUAAAAACCAUAGGCUUUCUUAGAAAAAGCUACCCUCAUCUACAAAAACCUAAAAUAUAAAAAAUCCUUAUUAUUAUAAAUAUGACUUAAAUACGUAGCCAAUGGGGUUUCCAGUUAAAUCAAAGUAAUGUUAUUCCAUAGUGAGUUUUAAAUUCUGAAAAGGCAUUGCAGAUAUUUACAAAUCUGUCCUACAAUAAAAAUUCAGUACAAACACAUGUAUUUACUGAUAAUGAAACAUAUUAAUAAGGAGGGGAGGGAGAGAAAAAACAGCUCAAAGCCACUGGGUGCUGGAAAGCGGAAACCGAUCUCCUUAGUACAGUCGAUACAAAGGAAUUAGAGGAGACACCGAUCAGACCGGGGAUUUGGCGAGGGUGACCAGUCUAAUCCUCCUUGCUGUGCCUCAACAAAUCCACAGCAGAAUUUAACAUGAGAGCUGCAGGCUGUGUGCACCUGACUUCCUCUCCCUUUCUAGUGGGCCAGGUGCCAGGGCCGGGGCGGAGGCCAAGUUCCUGACUUCGGGACAUCACUGUCCAUCUCCUCUUGCUGGCGUCUUACAAAUGUCUCUGAGAGGAAAGGAACAGCGAUCCGUCACUGAGCCUUUGAGAAGCCUGGAGUCUCUCGGCACUUUUCCUAAACGGCCUCCAGUGGGAGAGUGAGGCCGAGUGACUGCUAGUCAGUGUCCGUCAGCCACGAGAAAACCGAGACCUCAGAGGCAGACAUCACCUGAAACCCACAGCUGCAAUGUUUUCCAAGCUAUGGGACUUGCCGUAUGUGAAAUCCUUUUACCCGGAGCCAGAAGGUAUGUCUCGUCAGGACUCUCAAUAUUUCUGAUUACCAGGGAGAAGCCUCCUAGCUCACUCUUUAGUAAUUAUUUGCCUCCUCGGUGCCCGGGGAGCAGACUGCAGGUGCACCAGAGGCUCUCAAUAAUACAAGCUGCGGUUGGCAUCUCACCACGUUAGUUUUUAAUCUAGAGCAAGUUAGAGGGUUUUCAUUUAGGGUACUCAUAUGGGCUUCUAAAUAGGAAAAUGGACAGGCUUAAAGGAAGAGAUGAAGCUAACACAGUGUACUGCAGAGACCUGACAGAAAUCAGAGGGACAACCCUUGAUCACUGGUGAAUUUCUUCUCUCUCCUGUGCCACGUCAGUGGCAUUUUGUUGUGACAAUCAACUUUUCAAAGCAGGAGUUAGAGAAAACAACAACAACAACAACAACAACAUACUCUUCUGCCUGGAUCGAGUCGACUGGAGCCACAUAAUUGCUCGGAAUGUAACCAGUUUCUCCCGUUGUCAAGGAGCGGGCUUCCCACCAGUCUCCUUCCCUGCAAAGGAAGAAGAGGAGAGACGUGACUGCAUCAUCCAUGCGGCGGCGGCGCUCUGCAGUCAGAUUCGAUGCAGCCAUCAGCCCUCGGCCGUGCAGUUCUGCAGUCCUGCCCCCCUUCUGCAGACUAACACCGGCCCUAAGGAGGCCACAUGGCUUACAACCCAGACCACCCUGAACUGAAGCCAGGGCUGCCUCUUGCCUUCUGGGGAAAUUAUGCAGCUGAACCGGUCCUUUCUGUAACAGAGGAAGACGCCAGGGGUUUGACUUGGCUGUGACCAGCAUGUUCCUGCCCUGCAACCCGAAUAGAGACGCCGUCACCACGAGUGUGCUCAGAGGGCCACAGCCGCACAUGCUUCUCUCUACCCCUUCUAUUACUUACUUCCGAGGCUUACAGAGUUUCAAAUUUCUGGUUGAUCUUGCCAUUUGAAGAAUACUGUACAACUGGGGAGGUGGAUACAAACCCCGUCAACAGACUGACAAGAAGCGUUCAUCUGGGAAUCAAACUAACGAUGAGCGAUCACAAAUGGGAAGAGAGCCAAGCCAAAUUCCCUCUCUGACUCUCCAGCCAACAUUCUAACUCUUUUACCGACAGAUACUUCAGCUACGGUGGACGGCAGCAGCCGGGCUUUUCCGAGGUCCCAUCAGACACUGCACUCGGAAUUCUGAACCUUCAUUUCCCCCGGGCUUUGCCACCUGCCAGGACUGUGCCCUGGGCUCCCUAACCUGUGCCCUCCCGCUCUCAGAUGUCACCUAACGACUGCGACACAUCCUGGACAGCUGCUGCGAAGAAUCAAUGACAGCAAUUGCAGCAGCACAUGGUCAGCACCCGGGAGCCUUCAAUAACCGGCAGCUGUUG